rnacentral:rRNA from 1 species
CCUACGGGGGACAGCAGUGAGGAAUAUUGGUCAAUGGCCGGAAGGCUGAACCAGCCAUGCCGCGUGAAGGUCAGUGCCCUAUGGGCGUUAAACUUCUUUUGUGCGGGAGCAAUAAUGGUCACGUGUGGCCAGACGAGAGUACCGUACGAAUAAGCAUCGGCUAACUCCGUGCCAGCAGCCGCGGUAAUACGGGGGAGGCAAGCGUUAUCCGGAUUUAUUGGGUUUAAAGGGUGCGUAGGCUGUGAGGUAAGUCAGCGGGGAAAUGCCCCCGCUCAACGGGGUGAAGUGCCAUUGAUACUGCCUUGCUGGAAUGCGGAUGCCGUGGGAGGAAUGUGUGGUGUAGCGGUGAAAUGCAUAGAUAUCACAUAGAACACCGAUUGCGAAGGCAUCUCACGAAUCCGCGAUUGACGCUGAUGCACGAAAGCGUGGGUAUCAAACAGGAUCAGAUACCCCAGUAGUC